GGGAGCGCGGAGGCGGUGGCGCCUGAGGGAGCGCGGCCGCCAUUUUGUACCUCUUCGCUCGGUCCGGGGCGGUCGCGCGGGCGCUGCGGCUCUGAGGGAGCGCUCGGCUCUCCUGCUCUGUAGCUCGGGGUCGUCACCACAGCCAUGGGCCGUAAGAAGAAGAAGCAGCUGAAGCCUUGGUGCUGGUAUUGUAAUAGGGAUUUUGAUGAUGAAAAAAUCCUUAUACAGCAUCAAAAAGCAAAGCACUUUAAAUGCCAUAUAUGUCAUAAGAAACUGUAUACAGGACCUGGUUUAGCUAUACACUGCAUGCAGGUACACAAGGAAACAAUAGAUGCUGUUCCAAAUGCUAUUCCCGGAAGAACGGACAUUGAACUGGAAAUCUAUGGGAUGGAGGGCAUUCCAGAAAAAGAUAUGGAGGAACGGAGGAGGUUACUUGAACAAAAAACUCAGGAGAGCCAGAAAAAGAAACAACAGGAUGAUUCUGAUGAGUAUGAAGAUGAUGAAUCUGCGGCUUCAACUUCAUUUCAACCCCAGCAAGUUCAGCCACAGCAGGGGUACAUUCCCCCAAUGGCACAGCCGGGUUUGCCUCCUGUGCCAGGUGCUCCAGGGAUGCCUCCAGGUAUUCCACCAUUAAUGGCAGGUGUUCCACCUAUGAUGCCUGGAAUGCCUCCAGUUAUGCCUGGAAUGCCACCUGGGAUGAUGCCAAUGGGUGGAAUGAUGCCUCCUGGGCCAGGAAUACCACCUCUUAUGCCUGGUAUGCCACCAGGUAGGUCAGGGUUGUCGAACUCGUACUAUGGAAUGCCUCCCCCCGUGGGGCCGCGGCCUGGAAUGCCCCCAAUGACACAAGCACAGCCUGUCACAGCCCCGGGCAUCCUUAACCGGCCUCCAGCUCCUGCUGCAACAGCGCCCACCCCACAGCCUCCAGUCACUAAACCACUCUUCCCAAGUGCGGGGCAGAUGGGGACACCUGUCACAAGCUCAAGUGCAGCUUCCUCCAAUUCAGAAAGUCUGUCAGCGUCUUCUAACGCUCUGUUUCCUAGCACAGCACAAGCUGCAGCAGCUGUGCCAGGGCCAGUUGGUACUGAUUUCAAACCUUUGAAUUCUACACCUGCAACGACAACAGAGCCCCCAAAACCUACAUUCCCUGCUUACACACAGUCCACAGCCUCAACCACUAGCACCACCAACAGUACUGCAGCUAAACCAGCCACAUCUAUAACAAGUAAGCCUGCUACCCUCACCACAACCAGUGCAACCAGUAAGUUGAUCCAUCCAGAUGAGGAUAUAUCACUGGAAGAGAGAAGGGCUCAGUUGCCCAAGUACCAGCGCAAUCUUCCUCGGCCAGGCCAGGCUGCCCUGGGUAAUCCACCAGUUGGACCAAUUGGAGGUAUGAUGCCACCACAGCCAGGAAUUCCUCCACAACAGCAAGGAAUGAGACCUCCCAUGCCACCUCAUGGUCAGUAUGGUGCUCAUCACCAGGGCAUGCCAGGAUAUCUUCCUGGGGCCAUGCCUCCAUACGGUCAGGGACCUCCGAUGGUGCCCCCGUACCAAAGUGGACCUCCUCGACCUCCAAUGGGAAUGAGACCCCCCGUAAUGUCGCAAGGUGGCCGCUACUGAUGCUCCUACUCACGCUCUAAUAGGUUUUUAGAAGUGAAGUAUAGUAAAUAUGGUUCGUUAAAUUGUGAAGGCGCUGGAAUUACAUGAACAUACCACCUUAAAGCCCUGCCAUAGGACAGGCUGAGGCAGAGUCUCAGUGUUGCCCUGUUCAGUCUGAGGCAAGUGGGAUUUAUUUUAUUCAUUCUGGGGGCUUUCACAGCUUUAUGGCUGUUGGAUAUUUAUGUCCCCAAACUUGCAGCAAGUUUGGUGAAGGCCCCUAAAUUUAUUUUAAUUUAGGUUUUUUAUUCUCUUUUGGUAGAUGGGCUCUAUAUUAAUAUUUAUCUUUUUAUUAUCGUUGUGGUUUUAAGAGUCUUAGGGGGAGGGAGGCUGUUUGAAGAUGUUUGGGUACCUUUUCUCUUGGAAUGCAUUUCCUUCGAGGCUGCUCAGGGGGUCCUUCAGCCACACUGCCCCUUCCCACCUUUCCCUGCAUUGCAUUUGUGCUGUAUUUGUUUGGGGGUUUGGUAGUGUUGACUUUGUGUAGUCUCUGAAUUAGUGGCAUGUAAAUACCAAGUACUAAUGUUUCCUCUUCUGGGGAGAUGUAACUGUUGAAGUGCUUAAAAUAGGUUUUAACCAGCAGGUGACAUUUAUAGGCACCAAACUGUGUAGCCCAAAUUCUAGAACAGAGUUUCUUUGCAGAAGGUUGAGAUGUUAAUCCUGCUGCAUACGUGAGCUGCACCUCAGCAAAUAUUAAUGUAGAGCCCUGGGAGGAACCUGAGCUUUGAUCCAGGUUGGUAACACAGAAUAGAAGAGUGAGAAAUGGAGGCUGCAGAUUUUUCAGUUCAUGAGUUUCUGGAAGAACCUUUUCCUCAACCUCUCCAAUACACCAAACUCAACAGUACUUUGACUGUUGCAACAAUAGUGAAAGUCACAGCAGUUUUUUUGAAACCUUGUGAAAUUCUGUUGCAUAUUCAAAAUUUGCUUAGUUAUGUUUCUUUGAAGUUCCUUCUCUCACACAGUGACUAGCAAAAAAAUUGUACCCUUUGUGAAGGAAAAGCUGCUCACUCUGGUGCAGAUAACACUGGCCUUGAAUGCUUGAGGUUGCUUAAAGACAACUUCAGCUUCAGAAGAGCAGGUUUUGUCCAAGGAGGUCUUGCAGCCUAUCAGCAAUGAAAUGGAAAAUAAAUGUAGGAGUCUGGUUUUACAAUUUUUUUAAGGUUUUCAAAAUUUAUGCUAGUUUUUUAUGAGCAUACACUCUGUCUCAUUUCUUCAAGAUUUUGCUAAAUAAUGGCCCCCAGUGGGAUUUUCAGUAAUUUGAAUUCAAGGAUAGAGUUGUAAUUCUUAACUUAGAAGAGUGAUUGCACAUUCCUGUUGUACCCUUUGCUUGUACUCUGCCCUUUGCAUUUUUCCUGGAGAAGGCCCCUCCAAGUCACCCAGUCUGGCUGGAAAAUUGUCCUCUGACUGUUCCAAAAUGGUUACUGAGCAUGGCCUUGCUUUUCUAAUUCUCAUUGUGGUGCUCUCCCAAUAACAGUGAAGAUGAGAACAACUCUUCAACUAGGGUUUGUUUCACUUUCUUAGUUUACAGGAGCAUUUGGCUUAUUCUUAUUUCCCUACAAUGUCCAAGGAAACUGUUUAACCCAAAAUAAUAGUGUGGGUUGUACUUCUUACUUUAAGUAUCUGAAUCUCGUGGAGACUCAAAAUGAAAAAUAGGUAAAUUUCAAAUGCUUGAUCCUGAACUUUAUUCCCAGUUUCCAUUUAAGAUGAUGCAGCACUAGGUGAACUUUAUCCAGCUCCUCAUGUUCAGCCUGUCAUCAAGCCCACAAAGCUAAAAUUCAGAUACAUGUGCUGUCUUGUGUCCAGUGAAGUACCCACUUAGAUCCUCACUGGGGUUAUGCCUUAUGAAUUGAUACCCUGGUGAGAGCUGAAAGUUUCCCAGUUCAGGGAGAUUGUUUUUAUCUGCUUUUGUUGAAGAUAUUUUUUUUUCCAUGAACAUGUCAAAUUAGUUCUCCAAAAUGCAGUUCCUGUUUUCACUGUGUCAUUGUUUAACCUCUGUAUACUAAUCCUUCAGAGCAAAUGAACCAUUUCUUUGUGUUUUGGCAUGUUUUGUGAGCAAAAUAUAACAUUUUUUCAGCACCACAUUGCUGUGGGAUUUUUUUCCUUAAAGGUGCUUUUAAGCAAUUCCAGGAAGUUUAAUUUCACACUACCUGCUUUUGAAUGAUGCAUUUGACAUUAAGACAGUUCUGUGGGGCGUCACUGUAUGAAUUAAAGGUUUUCUGACUGGAUUUUCCUGCUCCACUGCAAACACUGCUUGUGGUUUCUGAUGGGUAGUUCACCCCCCUUCACUUCCCCCGGGCAUUCCUGUCCUUUCUGUAAGUCACUCAAGGACUGGAUGGGACAGGUCCUGCUUCUUCCCUCUUUGGGAGCUGGUAGCACUGGCAGAUGGCAUUGGAAUUAUUCUGAUGUUGCCACAGACUGAUGUUUGUCCUUAAAUUGGCAGCUAUAAUGAUUUUCCUUUGCUUUGUGUUUUGUCCUUAAGUGACAUGUGCAAGUGCUGCUGUCCUUGUAGUCCCCAGGAUGGCAUAAAGUGCUUUUUGCUGGGAGUAUCUCCUCAGCUAUUAGACCAGCUGGCCUCUCAUCUCUUUGAAACGACUUGUAAAAGUCUCAUCUGGUGUAAAUGGUUCAUGUCUUGCUCUUUUUGUGAUGUUUCCUUAGUGAUAUUUUCCUCCCUGCCUCCUCCUGUGGGUCUAAGGGGGAUAGUUAAAAUAAUUUGUAGUCUUUAUUUUGAGGGAUGAAGUGUGUUCCUCCUUGCAUUCCAGUAUUGCAGCAGCUUGUGUAUCACGAAGUUGUACAUCUCACUGUUUGUGAAUUUUCUAAUUAUGGCAAUAUUUUAGUGACUUUUAUAGAUAUUAACAGAGGUAGGUCUCGGAGUUCAGGGGUUUUUUAAGCUUAAGUAGAAGUACGUGACUUUUACUCAAGGGGGAGGAGUCACUGAUACUCUGCUAAAUUGGGUAAAUUUGCACCCACUGUUUUAAACAAGAGAAGUGAAUGGGAGAUGUGGUAAAUAAAGUACACACCACACAUGAGGGACUCCAAAAAAAAAUCUGUGCUUGCCAUCAAAAUACUCAGAGCAGUGAAACAGUGCCUGGGUUCUGUAGGAAUGCAGUGCUGGUGACUCCCACAUUGUCUGCAGGAGCUGGGCUGGGGAGGUUGUUCAGAGUAAGGGAAGUUUUGGGGCAACUGUUGAAGGGAUCCAGAUGAAUUCAGGUGAUUCUCCAGUGUAAUGUGAUAACAUUCUUUUGGAGGUCCUGAGGAACACGGGCUGUUUCCUUUCACACUGUGAGCAGCAGCUCUGGGCAGCCGUGGUUGGCAGAGCCCAGAUUCCUGGGAAGGCUGGGCUGGAGGAAAUGCAGCUUUACUUUAGUCUUGUGCCCUGAGGGAGCUGGGCACUGGAGCCUCAGCCAUGUCCUGUCCUGACUGCAGGAUCCAGGGGGUUAUCCUUGGGAUUUGUUCUGGGCAUCCUGAGGAGGCAGUUCUGACUGACCCUGGUGUGAAUAGCUGGAGGGUUGGUAUUUAUAUACCUGGUCCCUGCUGUGAGUAGUGAGACACUGGCACCUUCUGAACAAGCUUUCAGGAACCUCUGACAUUCUUAGGGGCUUGCUUGGAAUGGGGACAGUCAGCAACACUGCUGUUUUAGUGGCAGGGAAUUUAACUUCUUCAGAAAUACAGUCUUGAACUUAAGGUUUUUUAAGAAAACAGAAUUUUAAUGCCAAUAUCAUUUUAACUGAAAGCAAAAAAGCACAAACUUUGAGAGCUUGAAAGCUUCCUUAAAAAUUCUCUUGUUGGCAGCUAAACAAGGUCUAACUGCCUCAGAAGAGAUUCAAGCUUCUGAUAUCUCAAUUUUUUUCCUUAAAUUUUGUCUAAAUCUUUACCAUGUUCCCAGGUGCUAUUCAGAAGGGGGUGGGGGUGCUGUGUAGAAUUUCAGCUGCUGCUGCCCUGAGUAACCAAUAUGAGUAGCUGUAUUUUGGUGACAGUAAUUUUGAAUUACCAGAAAUUAGUGCAAUGCAACCAGGGGAAGCUAUUUCACUGUCUCCCAACUUAAAAAAAUUCCAUAAAGCUUUGAGUUCAGGGUAUCAUGCAGAGCUUUUUUCCUUUCUCUUUUUUCAUUGAGUUACUUGCACUGAAUUCUUUAGUUUCUUUCUCGUAAAUCUAAGUGGAAGAAAAUACAUUUUGCUCAGAAUAAGAAAACACACUUUAUGAGACUUAAAUGAAGGAACCUGGCACUGUAAGUAUUGUAAUUUCCUUUAUGUUUGUGGUAGGCAAUAGGAUGACCUUGUUAAAUAUAUGGGUUAUGUAUGAAAAAAUAUCAGAAGAAUAAGGGCAAAUUGAAAAUAAUUUUAUAGUUGCCUUUACUUCAUAUGCUUUUCUUAAGCAACAAAUUGCAAUAAUUGAAGUUUGGCAGCUUUUUUUUUUUUUUAAAUAAAAAACUAAAUUAUGGGUUAAACACCUUGGUUUAAUACAAUUUGUGUUUCUGUUAACUAGCAGCAGAAUUUCAGCAUUUGCUACUUACUGGUAGAGAAGAAAAAUUCCACAGCACUGCCAGUACAGGUUAGUUUAAUCUGUAAGUACCUGAUGUUCCUAUUUGAAUUAAUUUGUUCAAAUGAUACCACUUAAAUACAUGAGGGGAAUUUUGGUCUCUGAACUGUGAUUGUUAUCUACUACUGAUUUCAGUAGUGAGUGAACAUCUAGAUUUUUUUUUUGGAAGAUCUGUAAUGGAUUUAACUGUGCUUGUGGGCAGGUAAUAAAUACCUGCAAGCACCUUUAAGGAAAAUUUAAUACAGAACCUUAACAAAUACCCUUUGUUACUAGAAAGUGUGAAGAUCUAAAGUUGAAAUCACUUCAGUAACAUGCCUUUAUUGAUGAGGCUGUUUUUUACCAGCAAACCAACAGGAUCCUGUGUUUGUUGUGUUGGGGAUUAAGCAUUUCUGUUUGUAAACUCCAUAGCAGUAAUGUAAUCCUUGGAUUUUCUUUAGCUAUUACUAAUUACCAUUUCCUACCAACAGAUUUUUACUUUGCUAGGCCUGUGAGCCAGGAGCUUGUUCUUCUCUGCUUUUUUUAAUCAUUAUUUUUGUUAGUCCAUUGCAGCACUUCAGAGGCUACCUACAAAUGUGGUUUUGUCCA